rnacentral:rRNA from 1 species
UCNUCUGGCUCAACUGGGGGCGUGCGGUGGGUACGGGCUGGCUUGAGUGCGGUAGGGGAGGCUGGAACUCCUGGUGUAGCGGUGGAAUGCGCAGAUAUCAGGAAGAACGCCGGUGGCGAAGGCGGGUCUNUGAGCCGUUACUGACGCUGAGGAGCGAAAGCGUGGGGAGCGAACAGGGUUAGAUACCCUGGUAGUCCACGCUGUAAACGUUGGGCACUAGGUGUGGGGGCCACCCGUGGUUCCCGCGCCGUAGCUAACGCUUUAAGUGCCCCGCCUGGGGAGUACGGCCGCAAGGCUAAAACUCAAAGGAAUUGACGGGGGCCCGCACAAGCGGCGGAGCAUGCGGAUUAAUUCGAUGCAACGCGAAGAACCUUACCAAGGCUUGACAUGCGCCCCGGGCGCGCGGAGACGCGCGCGCAUUUGGUUGGGGGUGUGCAGGUGGUGCAUGGUUGUCGUCAGCUCGUGUCGUGAGAUGUUGGGUUAAGUCCCGCAACGAGCGCAACCCUUGCCCUAUGUUGCCAGCGCGUUGUGGCGGGGACUCGUGGGGGACUGCCGGGGUUAACUCGGAGGAAGGUGGGGAUGACGUCAAAUCAUCAUGCCCCUUAUGUCUUGGGCUUCACGCAUGCUACAAUGGCCGGUACAGAGGGUUGCGAUGCCGUGAGGCGGGGCGAAUCCCUUAAAGCCGGUCUCAGUUCGGAUUGGGGUCUGCAACUCGACCCCAUGAAGGUGGAGUCGCUAGUAAUCGCAGAUCAGCAACGCUGCGGUGAAUACGUUCUCGGGCCUUGUACACACCGCCCGUCACGUCACGAAAGUUGGUAACGCCCGAAGCCCAUGGCCCAACCGGCUCUUGCUGGGGGGA